rnacentral:rRNA from 1 species
GUGCACGCUGGCGGUAGGCCUAACACAUGCAAGUCGAACGGCAGCACAGUAAGAGCUUGCUCUUACGGGUGGCGAGUGGCGGACGGGUGAGGAAUACAUCGGAAUCUACUUUUUCGUGGGGGAUAACGUAGGGAAACUUACGCUAAUACCGCAUACGACCUACGGGUGAAAGCAGGGGAUCUUCGGACCUUGCGCGAUUGAAUGAGCCGAUGUCGGAUUAGCUAGUUGGCGGGGUAAAGGCCCACCAAGGCGACGAUCCGUAGCUGGUCUGAGAGGAUGAUCAGCCACACUGGAACUGAGACACGGUCCAGACUCCUACGGGAGGCAGCAGUGGGGAAUAUUGGACAAUGGGCGCAAGCCUGAUCCAGCCAUACCGCGUGGGUGAAGAAGGCCUUCGGGUUGUAAAGCCCUUUUGUUGGGAAAGAAAAGCAGCAGGUUAACACCCCGCUGUUCUGACGGUACCCAAAGAAUAAGCACCGGCUAACUUCGUG